rnacentral:rRNA from 1 species
UGAGGAACAUUUGNUCAAUGGGCGCAAGCCUGAACCAGCCAAGUAGCGUGCAGGAAGACGGCCCUAUGGGUUGUAAACUGCUUUUAUACGAGAAUAAUUUGAUGCACGUGUGCGUUAUUGCAUGUAUCGUAUGAAUAAGGACCGGCUAAUUCCGUGCCAGCAGCCGCGGUAAUACGGAAGGUCCAGGCGUUAUCCGGAUUUAUUGGGUUUAAAGGGAGCGUAGGCUGGAGAUUAAGUGUGUUGUGAAAUGUAGACGCUCAACGUCUGAAUUGCAGCGCAUACUGGUUUCCUUGAGUACGCACAACGUUGGCGGAAUUCGUCGUGUAGCGGUGAAAUGCUUAGAUAUGACGAAGAACUCCGAUUGCGAAGGCAGCUGACGGGAGCGCAACUGACGCUUAAGCUCGAAGGUGCGGGUAUCAAACAGGAUUAGAUACCCUGGUAGUCCGCACAGUAAACGAUGGAUGCCCGCUGUUGGUACCUGGUAUCAGCGGCUAAGCGAAAGCAUUAAGCAUCCCCACCUGGGGAGUACGCCGGCAACGGUG